rnacentral:lncRNA from 1 species
AUCAAAUUUACUUCCUAAGAUAAUCUAUACAUUUUUCCUUCAUCUCUAGGCAAAAUAGACUCCUUUUAAAUGAUAUCAUGUGGCCUAGUAAAGGGAGAAAAUAGUCAAAUAAUGUUGAAAAAUGAAAAGAUUUUGAUUGGAUAGAUCUUAAAUGUAAACAAUUGAGUUCCAGUUAAAUAUAAAAAUAGUAACCAAAUAAAAAGAUGUUUUUCAAAUAGACUAUAUUGUAGAGAUACUUGAUAUCUUUUCUUGGCAUCUAAACUCAGGAUAUAGAAGUUAUUAACAGUUUUAAUUUAGGGUCCUAAUUUUGAGGGGAGAAUUGUAACCUUUAAAAUUUUAGCCUCCUGUUAAAAGAAUAAAUGCAUUUUUCAAAGUAUAAACCUUUGAAGAAAAUAAAUUCUUAAUUUUAUGAAAUCCAUCAGUUUACAUAUUAUGUAAAAGGUUCUGUUGGUCAAUUAUACUGGGUACUUUUUUUUUUCCAUUAAAUAUAUUUCUAUAUUAUAUUCACUAGUUUUAGGCUUGUGAACAGUUUUAAAUGAAUUUGUAAACAAGUUUUGCACAUAAUUUAUUUUAAUGUUUUAAUCCAUAAAAGUAUGAAGGGAAGAAAAUUGUUUUACUUUACCAAUUUUAUUCUCUUUUCCCCUAAGUAUAAGUAGCUUCUCAUGCCAUUAAAACCCUAAAGUGGUAAAUAUUUCAUAGACUGACAUAAUUUGAAAAGCGAACAUGAAAGAGAAUUCAUCUGUUUUGCUAGAUAAACAAGACUGUCAGUAAUGUUAUUUUCCCAAAUAAUAUGCAAAUUUUUCAGUAUAAAAAGUGAUUAAUAAUAAUUAAAUUAGUUAGAAUUAUGCUUUCAGUGGCAUUGGCCUCAGAAACAAAUGAUUGUCAUUUGCAUGCUAAAUUUGAAUGUCAUCCUUAAGAAAUAGAAGCUGAAAUUUUAAAUGGCUGGGAGGAUUGUUAGUUUGAGAAAUAUCAUUAGGAAAAAUGUUGUAGCAACACUUUGUGCCAGAUUUUACCCCCAAAAUAAUUUUGUAAAGUCAAAUUGCAAAUUGAACUAUAAAACAAUUGCCAUUUGCAGUGUGUAUGUUCUGAACCAUAGGCGUUGUUAAAAUGUCUCUGUUAAUAAAAGAGUAGCCAUUACCAUAUUAUGUUUAAUGAAAUAUUGUUACAGGGACACUUCAUUUAUGCAGGGCUACUUACCUGGGAACCUCAAUUGUCCAUAACAGUAAGUAAAGGGAAAAAGGUCAGUAACUUCAAAGGCUCAUGAAUGACAUUUUUAGAAAAGCCCCUAACUUACUCAGCACUCAAAGAACUUGUUCCAUUCUAUACAUGAUUCUAAAAAGCUUGGCUCUCUGGCUUCUCAGCCCAACCUAGAUUAAAAUUUAAUGUGAUUCAACAAACAUUUAUUGAAGCCCUGCCAGAUAGAAAAAGUAUUCUAUAAAUUGAGAUAAAGCAUCCCUGCCUGCAUAAAACUUACAGCUUACUUAACAACUGCUUAGAAAAGGGAAAAGUUAGUUUGUCCAAGCAGGCUAAUGAUGAAAGAAUCAAAAAAAGAUAAGUUGACAUGACAAAAAAAACAAAGUAGACUUAGAGCAAGCAGCCCUACACACCUCAGUAGUUCCUGUUAACGCCAGUGUAUUGCAGCACAAGAUGAUAGUUGUUCAUAAUGAUACUGAGAAAGAGGUGGUGAAAAGUUACAAUUACUCUUAAAGAAAGCCAAAAAAAAAAGUUUAAGAUAUUUUGGAGAAAUGAUGACUUAAGGUGAUUAAAAGGAAAACGUCACUUCUACAAGUAUAAGCUUUCAUUUUCUGGGAAAUUCACUUAUAUAGAAUAUCUCAUUCCCCAACAAUAAUUAUAUGAAGUAUUAUACUUAUUUUAAGAAAUUGUAGUAAUUCUGUGCCUUGUGCUUGUACCAAAUCUAGCGAUGCUACUCUUUAAAUUAAUAUAAGGAUUUUGCCAUGUUACAAUAUUACAGACAUUUUAAUACGCGCUUAUCUCUGUAAUAACAUCAGAAACAGUUGGAUAAACAAAGAAAUUCAUUAACUCCGUGUGCUAUAAUAUAAAAGUGAUUAUAAUAAGUUUUCACCAAUUAAUGUAUUUUGAAAAACUUGUGUUCUUUCAGUUGUCCAUGUGUGAAACAAAUAAAACUCUCUCAAAG